rnacentral:rRNA from 1 species
GGCUCAGAACGAACGCUGGCGGCAGGCUUAACACAUGCAAGCUCGAGCGCUCUUCCCUGCUUCGGCGGGGUCGGGAGCGGCGGACGGGUGAGUAACGCGUGGGAACGUGCCCAGAGGUGCGGAACAACAGCUGGAAACGGCUGCUAAUACCGCAUGAUACCCUACGGGGGAAAGAUUUAUCGCCUUUGGAUCGGCCCGCGUCGGAUUAGGUAGUUGGUGGGGUNUCGGCCCACCAAGCCGACGAUCCGUAGCUGGUUUGAGAGGAUGAUCAGCCACACUGGGACUGAGACACGGCCCAGACUCCUACGGGAGGCAGCAGUGGGGAAUCUUGGACAAUGGGGGCAACCCUGAUCCAGCCAUGCCGCGUGAGCGAUGAAGGCCCUAGGGUUGUAAAGCUCUUUCACCCGUGAAGAUAAUGACGGUAGCGGGAGAAGAAGCCCCGGCUAACUCCGUGCCAGCAGCCGCGGUAAUACGGAGGGGGCUAGCGUUGUUCGGAAUUACUGGGCGUAAAGCGCGCGUAGGCGGAUGUUCAAGUCGGGGGUGAAAUCCCGG